CUACGUAGGUGACAAGCGUUAUCCGGAUUUACUGGGCGUAAAGGGCGUGUAGGCGGUCUUGCAAGUCAGAAGUGAAAUUCCUGAGCUCAACUCGGGCGCUGCUUCUGAAACUGCAGGACUUGAGUGCUGGAGGGGAUAGCGGAAUUCCUAGUGGAGCGGUAAAAUGCGCAGAUAUUAGGAAGAACACCGGUGGCGAAGGCGGCGAUCUGGACAGCAACUGACGCUGAGGCGCGAAAGCGUGGGGAGCAAACAGGAUUAGAUACCCUGGUAGGCCACGCCGUAAACGAUGAAUACUAGGUGUAGGGGGUAUCGACUCCCUCUGUGCCGCAGUUAACACAAUAAGUAUUCCGCCUGGGGAGUACGGCCGCAAGGUUGAAACUCAAAUGAAUUGACGGGG
rnacentral:rRNA from 1 species